GGGUGGGUGGCUCAGUGGUUAUAGCCUAGGGCUUAGGAGCGAAAGGUCUCGGGUUCGAAUCUCGCAAGAGGCA
rnacentral:tRNA from 1 species